rnacentral:misc_RNA from 1 species
AAGUCGUAACAAGGUUUCCGUAGGUGACUGCGGAAGGAUCAUUAACACGUAUCCAAACGUUAAAACAACCCUGUGAACCUUCAGCGUGUUCUUGCAGGACAUCAAAACAGCACUCCCCAGUAAAUCAGGCGCUAAAGAAUUACAGAUUUUGAUUUUGGGAAGUUCUGUGUGUACGUGGACGCUGCAAUUGAGCGCUAGAUAAAGCACCCUGGGACCCCGAUUUAUGACGGAGUCAGCUUUCUCCAAGUCCCGGAGGGUACAUAGGGAUGACGUAGGGGCUUUCGCCUCCACACCGGUCGCCGGUCGUGUGGACCUACAGCGAUCGUUGACUGCGCCACCCCGAACAUUGAUUCCUUGCCGCUUUCA